GCUUGUGGAGCUGGUGGCGGCGCUCCGCAGGGGCUCGGCUGUUUUCCGCGCGGCAGGCGCAGCCAUGGCGCAGCUGGGGAAGCUGCUCAAGGAGCAGAAGUACGACCGGCAGCUGAGGUUGUGGGGUGAUCAUGGGCAAGAGGCUUUAGAAUCUGCUCAUGUUUGCCUAAUAAAUGCAACAGCCACAGGAACUGAAAUUCUUAAAAACUUGGUACUACCAGGUAUUGGUUCGUUUACAAUUAUUGAUGGAAAUCAGGUCAGCGGAGAAGAUGCUGGAAACAAUUUCUUCCUUCAAAGAAGCAGUAUCGGCAAGAACCGAGCUGCAGCUGCCAUGGAAUUCUUACAAGAAUUAAAUAGCGAUGUCUCUGGAAGUUUUGUGGAAGAGGUUUACUGUUGUAGUUGCAACUCAGCUUCCUGAAAGCACUUCACUACGCUUAGCAGAUGUCCUCUGGAAUUCCCAGAUUCCUCUUUUGAUCUGUAGGACAUAUGGACUAGUUGGUUAUAUGAGGAUCAUUAUAAAAGAACAUCCAGUAAUA
rnacentral:sRNA from 1 species